UCACCCAAGGUCUGUCUUGAGCUAGGGAC
rnacentral:piRNA from 1 species